CAAUAGCGUAUAUUAACGUUGUUGCAGUUAAAAAGCUCGUAGUUGGAUUUCUGGAGGGAGCGUCGGCCCGUAUUUACGAGUGCGUGACGUCUCUGUCCAUCCUUGCGGGAAGGCACGGCAUUGAUUUGUUGUGUCGGAUCGCAUCAUUUACUGUGAAAAAAUUAGAGUGUUCAAAGCAGGCUUUCGCUUGAAUACAUUAGCAUGGAAUAAUAAGAUAGGACUUUGGUGCUAUUUUGUUGGUUGAGCCUAAAGUAAUGAUUAAUAGGGAUAGUUGGGGGCACCUGUAUUGCGUUGUCAGAGGUGAAAUUCUUGGAUUUACGCAAGACAAACAGCUGCGAAAGCAUUUACCAAGGAUGUUUUCAUUAA
rnacentral:rRNA from 1 species